rnacentral:misc_RNA from 1 species
UUCCUGAUUUUCCCAUCGUUCGGGGCAUUCUGGGGCUGUUUUGGCUAUUGGUUGCUUGUUUGGUCUUGAGCUGAACGGGUGGCUUCUAGUCCGGUGGCUUCGGGGAUGUUUGUCGUAAAGGUGCAUGAGUGGUGUUUGGUUUGUUACGUGUGGUGGCUGCGGCGUUUGCAACAACUUCCAUGCUUUCAGACCUCUUCAGUUGUGCGGCAAGGCUUGUAUCGCCUUGAGCGUGCUGUGGGUUUUCUGUGUUGGCUACCUAAUCAAUGGUAUCGGUUGGAUUGAUCAAAGUUUGAUUUCGUCUUUUGUCGCAUUCGCGGCGUGAGGUGAACCUCGAUGCGGUCUCUUUGAUCCACCUCGUUGAAGCACAUGCCUUGACGUUGUGGCACAUUGAGCAUUGCUUGGUCUCUUGUAUACGGAACAUAUAGUGGGCAUGGAUCUAACGAUUCUCGUUUGCCCUCAUAUUAGCGUAACGCUUCUCUAACACGACUUGCACCACGUUUUAG